GGCGUUUAUUCCAACCGCUAGAACCGAUAACAAAACGUUUCCUUCGAGUGCUCGAAUAAUCGGGUCGUAUAUCAGGAAUACCGCAUCGCGGUGAUUGCAUCAACUUCGGAAUAACAGGAAAAAGGCGGAUAUAUCCUACGAAAAAUGAGCGAUGAGUCAAAAGAUCUGGCUUCGAUUACUGGCGAAUCGGUGAUUGAUUCAUCUGGUACGUCGAUAGAAGAUGAAGAGGAGUCAAAACCUCCCUCACCUCGACGAAGUUCAUCAUUCGACAAUCCAAAACUGACGCCGUUUAAACUUCGAUGGUCAUACGGAGUCAAUCCACGAGUUCCCAUCGUCAAUUUAACGUCGGAUAAUCGGUCUCUGAUAGCUUUCGCCUGUUCUCACGCCACUUCUAUCUACGAUUAUACGUCGAGAGACAUGCACCUUCUACAGG